rnacentral:rRNA from 1 species
UACGGAGGGUGCAAGCGUUAUCCGGAUUCACUGGGUUUAAAGGGAGCGUAGGAGGGCAGGUAAGUCAGUGGUGAAAUCUUCGAGCUUAACUCGGAACUGCCGUUGAUACUAUCUGUCUUGAAUACCGUGGAGAUGAGCGGAAUAUGUCAUGUAGCGGUGAAAUGCUUAGAUAUGACAUAGAACACCGAUUGCGAAGGCAGCUC